rfam:Oryza barthii chromosome 2, whole genome shotgun sequence.
CCUGUUUUCCAUGUCUAACGUUUGAUCGUCCGUCUUAUUUGAAAAAAAUAUGAAAAAUAAUUAAAAAGACAAGUCACACAUAAAAUAUUAAUCAUGUUUUAUCAUCUAACAACAAUAAAAAUACGAAUUAUAAAAAAAUUUCAUAUAAGACGGAUAGUUAAAGUUGGACAUAGAAAUCCAGGGUUUGCCUUUUC